GACAUUGGAGAUGCAAGAACUCUGAAAACCGCAGUAAUAACUCUGUGAGUCUCAUCCUGCAUGUGCGCAUAGGGCCAGGGUGAUGCUUGGCACAGACAAAAACUCUUAACAGACUGGUCUUCACAAUCUACGUGCAGCCAAAGAUAUAUAAUUAUAGGCUCCCCCACCCCUCUGUAUGAAGCCCUGUCUGGUCACUGAAACAGAGUCUUGUCACAGAAUCAGUGCAGAAUUUCUUCCGAAUAUUGACAAAGAACAGACUGAACGCGAAAGACCUAGAUCUAAAAUUAUUCCUCGCCUCAACACAGAUGAGAAGUAUAUCCCUAGUUCAGGAUUAUCACCAAGCAAAGUUCCGGUUGCAAUAUCAAUAUCUCGUACUUUUUUUAUGCUCAAGCUGCUCCAACUUCAACCUGGUUGUGGAUGCACAAUUAUAAUGAGGUUCCAUGGCUGCAGCCAACCUGAAAAGAAAUCUUGUUACCAUUUACACACCGAUGCGAGCCAAGCAUAUGAUGCAAAAGUUUUUGACAAACUAUUAUAAUAAAACCUAUACUAACACUAUAAUGCUAUGGUAUUAGACGAAAAUCAGCAAAAUGCUGUAAAAAGUUGCACACAUUUAUAAAUGGAAGUGUAGGAAAUUUGCAUUAAUUAUUUUGACCAACCAUACGGAUGUAUAAUAGUGUAGGUACAUAUUGAAUGGUGUGGUAACUAAUUGUAGUUACCGCUGUUUAAGUACAAUUAUAAUUGACAAAAUUUAAGUGGGUGCCAAUGUUUUGUAGUAAAAUUCGCUAGGUAUCUGUUAACAGUAUCUGGUAAAACUAGUGUUCAAGCUGGCGCUGUGCUAAUGCCUCUCGCCAUGUUUUUGCUUUCGCUCAAAAGUAUUAGUGUUAUCUAUAAAUGAAUUUUAUAUUAAAGUUAGCUUAUCUAUAUAAAGUCACUGAGAAGAAAACACUUAUUUACAUGCAUCUAUUGUUGUUAUUUAUUGUAUUAUGUGGCUUACCAGGACCUCAAGAAAGAAGAAAAUUGAUUCUUCCAGGAUCUGUAUAGUUCAGUGUAUAUAAUAUCUAAGAAGAAAAAACCUGUGUACAUGCAUAUUGUUAUCUAUAUUGUUAUAUGGUAGUGUUUUGUGGCUUACCAGGCCCUCAAGACAAAGAUGAUUCUGCCAGGAGGAUCUGGAUCUGGAUCUUGUAUUAUUUUCUCACACAUGGGGAAUGAGCGCGCAUGCCACAGGAAUAAUUAAAGGGUGUGUCCAAAGAGAUCAAUUGCACGUCAAUGUCACACAAGAAUUCUCCAUUGUGUUGCUGGAGUUUAGAGUUUGUUUAAUAGAAUACCAGAUAUUUAUUCUAACUUCAUUUCACGUGCUUUAGCAUCUAAAUCCACCCUCAUUAGAUCAGUUUUCUCAUCACAGCAGUCGGGGCUAACAACCUGAUCAAAAGGAAUUUUAUUAAAGUUUAUAGCAGUGACGAUAUGGUUUGUGCGGACUUUGUUCGGGAUGUCAGGCAUGGCCGCAUUUCUUUCAACUCGCGUGAAGAUACAUCAAUGAUAAUUAACUCUAUCUGCUGCGAUUGAAUUUAAGUUGGACUAACUAUCUUGCACCAUAGUUCUAUACUAUUACUAUAUACAUGUAAUAUAAUAAUUAUGUACACCUAUUCCUGGUGUGUUCAAUGAUAAUUAUUAUUAUUAUUAUUAUUAAUGGCUACUGCUAGCUAGCUUUUUUAACAGAUAUUUCUGAGUCUUGUAGCUAACAAAAAGCUAGCGCUUUAGUGCAAGGCUAACUCAUAUGUUGAAUAGAAAGUUUGUGCGAACAGAUGAUGCUAUGAAAGAUUCUGAAGAGACUGCAACAGCCUUCAAUUCAGCUUUACCGUAUCCCUCGUGCGGCUACGCCUCGAGGCAUAAUAAUCACAUUAUGAGUAUCAAAUUAGCGUUAAUUGCAAUGGUGCUUUGAACACUAAAUGCUAGCAUUAGCUGCAAACAACUAGUGAGCAGGCUAUUUAGCUCCCUCGAUAUUAUUGUAAGACAGGGGGGUCAGAAACAUUUUAAUGUCUCAUAAUACCUUCUCAUCCUCUGUAUAUGUUUAUGGAUAAUAGAUCCAUAAUAAUAAAAAUGACGUUAGCAGGUGUGAUAUCUUGAGUUUAAUUCACGAAUAUGGAACUCUGAACAUAAAUUAAUCAUAAGAACAGCUAUUUAUACAAACAGAACACAAAGAGAACAAUCUAGACUUAGCUAUUAUGGUAAAACAAUAACUAAAUCAGGACAUAAUCAUACACAGUACACAUAACAUCAUUUACCACUAAUGAGGCUAAAGGUUAUUAUACUUCCUACAUACUAUUAUGCUAAUACAGUUACUGAAAUCAUCACAGCAGGAACAUUAAUGUUAGCAAAUUAAUAGGAAUCACAUUGCAUGUAUCGAGGUUACUUUGUCAGUGAAAGCUACCGUAUUACUUGAGACAUAAUUAUAUAUGCGAAUUUUGAAGGACUAUACUGCAAACGUUUAAGAACAUGCAGUACAUGCAUAGCAUGUAACCAUAGCACUUAAACAUAAUAACCAGGUCAAACAACUGUCAUUUGAGAAAAGUUGACAUGGAGUAAAGACAACAGACUUAGAGCUUGUCAGCGGUGUAAACUUACGAGUACCCUGAGUGAUCGCUAGUGGAUAGGAGAGUUAGAAACAGUUGAAAUACAACCAGAGUACUUCGCGAGCAUAAUUAUCUGGAUCGAGCCGGGCGGCCUGGUAGUUUCCAAUCCCUCCUACUGUUCUGUCUAUGGCAAAUUUAGUAAAUAAACACGAUCCUUGAUCGCAAAAGGUGCAAACCCUCAGCUGGUAACAUAAUUAUUGUAUAAUACAGUGCAUGUAGUACGUGCUGUGUGACUGAGCACAGCAAUUCCCCGCAGGGGCGACCGCAUAGGUUUGAGCUCGCUUGUCCGCACCCCAACACUCGGGCUGGCGAUCUCAGCGGGUAAAGACUAGUUAAACUCGGGUCCUCUCUUGAUGGACCAGCUGCUCCUGUCACGGAGAGAACAACAACAAAAACAAAAAAUUGCUGGUCAUAUAUACACAAGAAAGUACCAGCAGUAAGUCUAAACAUAGAUAUGACAUCAUAAAAUAAUGUACACUCCUUCUCGAUAUUGGGAACAAACUUGACUCGGGUAAGUCCUUUUGUCAGCAUGUCUGCUAUCAUCUGAUCGCUGCUACAGUAUACUUGAGUUUCACAGUCUUGGCAACAACUUCCAUGGAAUACAGUAUGGCUGUAGCUCCUUGUGGUUCACAAUUUAACUCUGAAAGUAAGCCACGUACAUUACUUCUUGUGUAGCGCUCGAGAGUGCUCGCUGUUGAAAGUAGUGCAACUGAACUCUGCUUUCUGCUGGAGCACCACUUAACACGAACAUGUAUCCAGAAGUUGACUUCCUGUCGUUCAGGUCACCAGCCCAGUCAGAAUCAGAAUAGCCAGUUAGCUCUUUAGCAUCGCUCCUUCUAUAGAGUAGUCCAAGAUCAGCUGUACCCUUGAGGAAUCUGACUUUACACCUGCUUCGUUGGUAGAAUUUCAAACAAUGUCCUUUCAGCAUAGCCUUGGCAUCUCUCCUCGUACAACAACCUUUUGUGUCACCACGGGUACCUCAGGGCUAACCUCGAAAGCGCACACCGAAAGAACUUUGAUCUUCAUCAGAUAGUGGAGCAUCAAUGCUAGCUAACGCAUUGAAGAGUUCAGUCAUCUUUCUGACAUGCUCCAACCGAGUAUAGCUUCCGUCUAAGAUUGACCCAUGACUUCUUCAGGGGGGUGGACGUGUACCUGUCGUUACAAGCCAGGGUUUUUAUUCAUGUUCGCCGGUUGCUCACCAAGUCCUAGAUCUUCAGGUGGAACUUCUUCAGCAUGCUGUUUGUCAAAGUACCCCUUUCGGAAUAUUCCCUUCGAGUGGAUGGACUGUUCAAAAGCGGCUCCAAUUGAACACUAAGUCGUUCACCGAGUCUGGGAGACGUUUGGGCAAUGGAACCAUCUUCCUGAUUCGUGUUGAAGUGCUCAAUUGAAGGUGAGGUUACAGUCAACUUCUCAAAACUGUCAAAGAAUAUCGUCUCCUGUCAGUAUGGAGGUCAGGUGAGUUUUGAUGUGCUUCUAGCCAGGACCCAUCCAAAUUGAUUCCAGAUCGCCAACCAUGGCGUAUCAUAUCAACAAAUACUUCUAUUCUUCUUGUAGCAAGGCGUUUCAGGAGGUGACGGGUACACUGGUAGGUCGCCAGUGAUCUGAGGUUCUUUCCUGAGGAUUGCAUAGAAGAGAUGAGAAUUUAAGUCAGCGAUUGUUUCCCGUCGUUGUGUUGCAGCCUGCAUUUUGUGUCGACCUUCGCAUGCACAGAUGCAAUGCUUGUGCUAGACGUUCAGAAACGAAUGAUGCUGAGGAUCCAGUAUCCAAUAGCGUAUUGGCAAGAGAUCUGAUGCACAGCGAGCGAGUUGAAUUUGACAGAGUUUCAGGUAACAAUAGAGAUCACAGAAAGACACUGACAAAACGUAACAUGACAAAACAUAACAUGCAUGCAGGGUAUAGUGCACAGAGACUCUUUACAACAAAGAACUAUAGUACAAAACAAAAGACUACUAAGGGAGGCUCUGCUCCAGGAAACUAAACAGACUAAUAAACAUUCCUAACACAAACUAUGGUAACUAAACAAUAACCAAUAAUUAAGUCUAAGUGUUAAAACACAUAACUAAUACUCCUUCUCACUUGACUUAAACAUUACGGUUCCACCACUCCAGUUUUCUCUCGGAGUUUGCAAAAAGUUUCACGACUGAGACAAAAUGUCAGCAACUAUUUCGGUAGUUGGACAAUAUUUGAAAUAUUUGAGAGUGAUCGUACCUUGUGUCACUUGUUCGCGAAUGAAGUGAAGUUUGAUAUCACGUCCAUGGAAUUGAGGAUUCUUUGUCAUAGCGAUAGCAGAUUGAUUGUCCUCAUACAUUAGAGUAGGUGAGUCUGCAAGUAGAGGUUAGUUGCCUUAGCCAGACAGAUUCUUGGGCAGCACUAGCCAUAGCAACGUAUUCCGAUUCGGCAGUCGACAAUGCAACACAUCUCUGCUUUUCCAUGAGAUUGCUCCACCACAUAGCAAAAAUACGUACCCUGAGGUUGACUUUCGCUCGUCAACCAUAAUUCGGGGUUCCUUUCAGGUAGCGAAGUAAUCGUUUCAGAGCUAACCAGUGCUCCUUCGUGGGUGAAUCUGGCCAAACUGCUCACAGCAUAUGAAAUGUCUGGCCGUGUACAAACAGAGAGAUACAGCAAACUUCCAAUCGCAGACUGAUACUCCUUCUGGUCCACACACACAUCCUGCUUUGGUGAGCUUGGAGGUGUUGCUCACUGGCGUGCUGCGUUUUGAGUAAGUGACUUGGUUGACCAAUCCAAAUUGAGUCCUGUGUAUAUUGAUCAACCUUGAUCCCGAGAAAAUAGUUCAGUUCGCCAAGGUCCUUAAUGUUGAAUUUUGCAGUCUUGACUUCCUCCAGACCGUCUUUCCAGCCAAUAAUUAUGAUGUCAUCAACAUACAAUGGGGGUCAAUGAUUAUUGACAGGGUGUCAUACAAUAUUUCAAUACCAAUAUGUAAAUUGCCAGCUAUGGACACUAGUCAUACCACUAGUACCUGAAUGUAAAAAAAGGGGGGCCCCCUGUAUGACACCCCAGGUUAAUUGGACUGGACUAAACGACCUUCGGGUGCAUGCGCCCAGCAUGGUAGCCAUGUGGGCGCAUGCGCAAAGCAGUUGCCUCGUGUAUACAAACAGUCGUGUAUGCUGCUCUAGCCGUCGCCAUUGGUUCAAUCGCUGCCCCAUCCUGCGGAGCAUGUCUACCUCGUCAUCCUAUUCUUCAUCUACCACCCUCGACAGCAGCAACAACAACACUGUCGGCGGGUAAUAUCCGGGGCAUUGUUCGGGAGGUCCUGGGAGAACUCCUCCCUACGUCGUCGGGCCAUAGCUCCGGAUCAGUUGGUAUGCCUCCCCGUGGUAUGCCUCUCCGUGGAGCAGGUGCAGGUGAGUGGUAUACAAAAAAGGAGGCGUAUAGUUAGGCUGGCAGGCUGCCUACCAAGUAGGGUUAAGUUAAGAGAUUACAGUAGGAGAGUUAAGCAACUAUAAUUUGUAUGUAGGUGUUGAGUAACACGUAUCGUGCUAAAUCCACAACUCCAGAUCUACUGGCCAUCGAUCUCGGCGCUGGCCAGCUUACCUACAGUAACCUCGGUGCUCGGCACACGGCCGAUCUCGACGGGGGUGGGGAGCACUGCCACUCGGAGCAGGACCGGCAUGCUGCCAUGGGCUAUGACACACCCGGUGUCUUACCUGGUCUACGUGGGGGAGGGCCUACCUCCAAUCCGAAAUCGAUCGUCUAAAAAAUAGCUGACUACUGGAAGUUUAUAGACAUGGCAGAGCUGCUUCCAGAAUUCUGGGCCCUGCAGAAGAUGACUCUAAGAAGGCGUCGUCACGUCGUCCCAAACAGGUCAGCGACUUUCAUAUGUGGCUGCAAUGCUUUGCCGGGAAGAUUAGAACCAACGGCAAUCCCAGAGCUGAUGGCUCACUAUUUCGAGGGCACACCAGGAGUUCGCGGGACUUGCCUGGGUGCGGUACGACACGGCUUUUCGACGGAAUGCAGCAGUCACGGGGAAAGUCUGUCGCUUGUUUAACGAAGAUGCGUGCCGGUACCGGAAUUGCAAGCGUACCCAUCAGUGCAGUAUCUGCGGGGAACAGCAUGUACUGCCCUGGAAAUACACAGCCGAGGACAGGCACAUCUCAAACGCUCUGGGUACUUAAACGAGCAUGCUGACUAUAAAAAGGCGUGCCGUGGGCAGCUCCGACCGGAAGCAACCAAAAAAUGACAAAAUGGCAACAAUGAAUAUUCUUGAGUCUUGCAAAAAGACGCCCUUGACAGUAUAAUGCCCAUUCUUUACAUUUUUACAUUCUUCUUUUGAUACGCCUUCUUUCGCUCUCUCACGAGAUAGUAGACACAAACUAAAAACAAAAAAUGGCUGUCAAAAGUUUAUUUCAAGAAGUCUGUUCUCAACCUCAAAAGAAGCCAACUGGGGGUUCCACAGGAGCUAAAGUUCGAGAGUGAAGAUACCAAGCAAGUCUUUGUAGGUAUAAUUGACAGUGCUAAGCGUUAUCUUGCUGCCAGAGAUGCAUUGGCCCAACAUAAGGAUCUGACAAACUGAUGCUGUUGUUGAAGAUGUGGACAUAAAUAACUCAAGUCGCUUUGAAGGACGCUCUGAAGGACUGCGACUGCCUUUGCUUGUUGACAGUCUCCCUGGGUAUAUCAUCAACCUAUGUAGAAAAUAAUCGAACUUUCGGUGAGUUUCACAGUUUCAAUGCCGUCUAUUAUGCAAGAAAGCAAGCUUCCUAACUCUUCCACAACGUGCCCUGGAGUAUGCUCACUGUAGCUGACCUGGAGCUGAAAAGAUUCCUUUAUUGUGCAUUGCCUUUUGCUGUAUCUAUACAUAAAGUAUUUGUCAGCCAUUUAUUUUAUUUUUUUGUUUUUUGUUUCUGCUUCUGGUAAAAAAGAAAAACUACCAAGAAUGUAUUUCCCUUCCCUUUGUGUAUAUUUUUUA